UAUUGUUCUAAACAUAGUAUACCCACCUCCUACAAUAAAGAAUUGACAAGAAUAGUACGGUUUAUGUUGCGCGUUUUUACAUUUGUUCACAGUUUUAUGCAAAAUUCUAAUAAAAACGAUAAUUUUCAGUUUAUAUAGAGAUUUAAAAAUAAACAUAGUAUGUGGCCGAGAUGUAAAUGCUGACGAGACACGUCCACGAAAAAAUCGUUUGUUAUAAUACAACGAAAAACGGGUUACGGAUCGCAUCUGGAAGUCGGCAUUUCCGAGACCGUAUCCAUUUAAUUUAAGGUGCUUUU